rnacentral:rRNA from 1 species
AGAGUUCGAUUCUGGCUCAGGAUGAACGCUGGCGGCGUGCUUAACACAUGCAAGUCGAACGAAGCAUUUAGAACAGAUUAUUUCGGUAUGAAGUUCUUUAUGACUGAGCGGCGGACGGGUGAGUAACGCGUGGGUGACCUGCCCCAUACCGGGGGAUAACAGCUGGAAACGGCUGCUAAUACCGCAUAAGCGCACAGAGCUGCAUGGCUCGGUGUGAAAAACUCCGGUGGUAUGGGAUGGGCCCGCGUCUGAUUAGGCAGUUGGCGGGGUAACGGCCCACCAAACCGACGAUCAGUAGCCGGCCUGAGAGGGCGACCGGCCACAUUGGGACUGAGACACGGCCCAA